AAUCAAGAUGCACUCAGCGGGUUGAAAGAUGCUUCAGGUUUUUUUAUUUUCAAAAAAGAUCACCCUUGCAAACAAAUCGUGUGGCAAACAUUUUGUUUGUUUCCUUGAUUCUGAUUCUUGUAGGCGCUUUAUUGCAAAAAUGCCUUGAUUUAAAACGCUCGUUGACUACAGCAUCGGAAAGGUAUCACCAAUAACCAACAUAGCAAAAAAAAAAAAAAAAUAGUGGACAAGAAUGGCCAAUAAAAUUUUUCGGGUCGCAGUGAUUUUACCGGGUCGGUCGUGUGAGGGGAAACAAACAAUAUUUUAUUUUUGGCCUAAG
rnacentral:lncRNA from 1 species